GACGAACGCUGGCGGCGUGCUUAACACAUGCAAGUCGAGCGGUAAGGCCCUUUCGGGGGUACACGAGCGGCGAACGGGUGAGUAACACGUGGGUGACCUGCCCUCAGCUCUGGGAUAAGCCUGGGAAACCGGGUCUAAUACCGGAUACGACUCCAUGACGCAUGUUGGUGGGGUGGAAAGCCUUGUGCGGCUGAGGAUGGGCCCGCGGCCUAUCAGCUUGUUGGUGGGGUGAUGGCCACCAAGGCGACGACGGGUAGCCGGCCUGAGAGGGCGACCGGCCACACUGGGACUGAGACACGGCCCAGACUCCUACGGGAGGCAGCAGGUGGGGAAUCUUGCGCAAUGGGCGAAAGCCUGACGCAGCGACGCCGCGUGAGGGAUGACGGCCU
rnacentral:rRNA from 1 species